rnacentral:rRNA from 1 species
UACGUAGGGGGCUAGCGUUGUCCGGAAUCAUUGGGCGUAAAGCGCGUGUAGGCGGCCCGGUAAGUCCGCUGUGAAAGUCGGGGGCUCAACCCUCGGAUGCCGGUGGAUACUGUCGGGCUCGAGUACGGAAGAGGCGAGUGGAAUUCCUGGUGUAGCGGUGAAAUGCGCAGAUAUCAGGAGGAACACCAAUUGCGAAGGCAGCUCGCUGGGACGUGACUGACGCUGAGACGCGAAAGCGUGGGGAGCAAACAGG